AUGGAAAACCACCUCCCAGGCGUCGCCAGCAGGAGAGGAGCCGGCUCCGCUCUCCUACGCACCCACACAAACAUCGUCGCCUUGGGUGAGGAGUUCGUGGGAGGAGAAGCCGAGAAGGUCGGGGAGUGGGAGGAGGAGGAGGAGUUAGUUCAGCAGAUCAGCAGCGGCAGUGCCGGGAGAGGAAGGGCCAUGGCGGCGGCGGCUUUCGGACUACGCGUUGAGCGGUAUCUCUCCGUGCCGCCGGGACGGCAAGCCCAUGGAGAAGCGCGGUCACCCCGGUACAUGGCCGUCUUCCAUCUCCAUCUGCUGCUCCCCACUCCUGCCGUCCCAUGGCCUGCGUCGCCGCUUCUUGGUUGUUCCCACCUGCUGAUACUACUCGGAUCCCUUGGCUAUUCAGUUCCUGUCUCCACAUCUUUGCAAAGUUUCCUGAAUGGACUCAAGAGUUAUGACUGUUGA
rnacentral:rRNA from 1 species